CCCUACGUGGAUCGACCCCCAUUUGUCCUGUCAAAAGCAUCAGUAGAAAUAUGCCAAAGUUAAAAACAUCCUGCUUCUCAUUGAAACAGUUUGUAGCAUAGUACUCCGGUGCAAUGAGCCCCAAUCCGCCUGCCACAAAAUCCUUUACAUGGGAUUCACCUUCAGGAAUAGACACAGCAAGUGAGAAAUCAGACAAUUUGGCAACAUGGGAUUCAUCCAGGAAGAUAUUUAAAGGUUUGAUAUUUCUAAAAACAAUGGGCUUAGGAAAUGCAGCAUGAAGAUAUGCAAUUGCAUUAGCAAUCUCCAUUGCAAUCUUUAACCUUUG
rnacentral:misc_RNA from 1 species